UCAGAACUGGAAGGGUAGUGAGCUCAUAGGAGAAAAGAACGAGAGUGCACAGUGACCCAGAGAGACUAGAGCAGUGGAUGGUACAGGCAAGGAGGAAGUCCCAUGUCCAAGGACAAAGAGUAGAUGGCACCCAUACACAAUGUGGCCCUCAGAGACUCCACAUCGAGAUUGUGCUAGGUGCUGUACAGACAUAUUGUGAAAGAUCAUCUCUUCUCCCAAAACUACAAACUUGAUUUAGAAAGAUGAAACAGGUGCAGUGAAUGUGAUGGGCCGAGAGUGAGAAGGAUGCCUAGGGGUGUUUGUCCCUCCUCUUUAUAGUUUCAGUCCCUCUCCUAAAAAACAUUUCCAGCUGAGAACCAGGAGCCAAAGAGUCUAUGUGGAAGGAUAUUCCCUGCUUGUUUUUUCACCUGCUUCAACUUCCUUUGUAUUCCCUUCCUGCUUGAUGACUCUGUUUACUGCUUAAAUGCAAAUUAACCAGAGCACACAUUCCUUUGUUAAAAAUCUUAGCCCAGAAAAUCUGGGUUCUAUUC